rnacentral:rRNA from 1 species
GACGAACCGUGCGAACGUUGUUCGGAAUCACUGGGCUUAAAGGGCGCGUAGGCGGGUCUUCAAGUCCGGGGUGAAAGCCCACGGCUCAACCGUGGAAGCGCCUUGGAUACUGGAGAUCUCGAGGGAGGUAGGGGCGUGCGGAACUUCCGGUGGAGCGGUGAAAUGCGUAGAUAUCGGAAGGAACACCGGUGGCGAAAGCGGCGCGCUGGACCUCUUCUGACGCUGAGGCGCGAAAGCCAGGGGAGCAAACGGG